rnacentral:rRNA from 1 species
AAAACCUAAGGUUUCCUGGGCCAGGUUCGUCCUCCCAGGGUUAGCCGGGAGCUAAGAUGAGGCCGUAAGGCGUAAUCGAUGCACAGCAGGUUAAAUAUUCCUGCGCUUGCCCGGGUUAAGGCUGCGAAGAACACAUGGGAUCACAUCAACUAGACAAUUGAAUGUUGAGCUUAGGCUUCGGCCGAAGCGUAUUGGUGGGAUCCUGUGUCUAGAAAAGUUCGCAGUUGUUCCCCGGACAACCCGUACCGUAAACCGACACAGGUGGGUGAGUGUAAGCGCACUCAGGCGCGCGAGAGAAACCUCUCUAAGGAACUCGGCACAUUAGCCUCGUAACUUCGGGAAAAGAGGUGCUCACUUCGGUGAGCCACAGUAAAUUGCGUUUAGCGACUGUUUAACAAAAACACAGCACUCUGCCAAGUCGUGAAGACGACGUAUAGGGUGUGACACGUGACCAAUGCGGAAAGAUUAAACCAUUUUGUUAGCCGCAAGGCGAAGCUCGGUGGCCAAGUCCCCGUGAAUGUCGGCCGUAACUAUAACGGUCCUAAGGUAGCGAAAUUCCUUGUCGGGUAAGUUCCGACCUGCACGAAUCGUGUAACGACUGAACGACUGUCUCGGAGAGGAUCUCGGCGAAACUGUAACGGCGGUGAAGAUGCCGCCUGCCCGCAGUAGGACGGAAAGACCCUAUGCACCUUUACUGUAAGCUCGUAUUGUGUUCUGAUUAAUUUUGCGUAGCGUAGGUGGGAGACUUUGAAGCGGGUCCUUCGGGGCCCGUGGAGUCGCAAUGUGAAACACCACUCUUAGUUAAUUAGGAUUCUAACCCCGAUUUCUGUGAAGCCAGACGGGGGACAGUGCGUGCGGGUCAGUUUGACUGGGGCGGUUUCCUCCCAAAGAGUAACGGAGGAGCGCUAAGCUUGGUUCAGCAUGGUUGGCAACUAUGCGUUGAGGGUAUGGCUAGAAACCAGGUUAACUGUGAGACGUACAUGUCGAGCAGAUGCGAAAGCAGGCCCAAAUGAUCCGACGGUAGAAUGUGGAAUUGCCGUCGCUCAUCGGACAAAAGGUACGCUAGGGAUAACAGGCUGAUCGGAUCCAAGAGUUCACAUCGACGAUCCGGUUUGGCACCUCGAUGUCGGCUCAUCGCAUCCUGGGGCUGGAGAAGGUCCCAAGGGUCCGGCUGUUCGCCGGUUAAAGCGGUACGCGAGCUGGGUUCAGAACGUCGUGAGACAGUUCGGUCCUUAUCCACUGUGGGCGCAGGAAACUUGAGGGGUUCUAACCUUAGUACGAGAGGACCGGGUUAGACGCACUUCUGGUGUGGCAGUUGUUCCAUCCGGGGCAUCGCUGCGUAGCCAUGUGCGGAAGAGAUAAGCGCUGAAAGCAUCUAAGUGCCAAGCUCCUCCCAAGAUAUUGUUUCCCGGGGCGCAAGCCCCCUAAAGACCACGGGCAGACUACCCGUUUGAUAGGCUAGAAAUGUAAUCACCGUGAGGUGUUCAGUUGACUAGUACUAAUCGGUCGUGAGGCUUGAUCGU